AGAGAAAAAAGUGAUAAGUAUCAAAGAGUUCAAGAAGCUCCUCCUCCUCCUCCUCAGCAAGGGAUCUGCUCGGUGAACCAGUGCAUGACGUGAAUGGGGGCUUUGAUCAACCUCAGCGCAAACUCCACUAACACCAUCACGCAGAAACAGCAAGGGCUUAUUCAAC